AAAGCCAAGAGUGAUAGAGAGAUCUAAAGUGAGGUUUUGUUGUUUAGCAUAAGUUUUCAAUAAGUUCUUGUAACCGAGUUGCUAUUCUCCACAGUGCAGGUGAUUUCUCAAAAAAGAUCACAUGAGAAGUAGCCAAAGUUCGCCGAACCUGGCUAAAUUCUUUGUUUGUGUGUGGCGUGUGUACUUUAUUGUUCUUAUAUCCACAUAAAAUCAUCUUAUAAGUUUGCAUAUAUCAUAAACAAGAUUGAUUAAGGGAGAUUAAAUCAACAUUGCAAUGUUCUUGUACUCAUCUUUCAAGACCACAUUUAAGCUCAUUUCAAUAGUGUGAACUGUGAAGCUCCUCGUGCAUAAGUUCCUUCCAACCGUUAUGCUAAUUUGAAACCUCUUCGAGUUGGGGUUCGAAAGCAACUUGGAUUUCUUGGAGCACAAGCUGCAACUUCAGAACUAUAAAUGUACGUGUAAGAUGUUCCCAGCUAGCAGAAUCAAACACAUUCUUCCAGGGUGAGAUAGCCGUAUAAGUUGAUCCAUCGCUCCGGUGCCAUGCGCCAAGAACAUUACUCAACUUGAAAUGUAAUUAGGUGGGACAGAACUCCUCUAGCUUGUGUCCCAAGUAUGGUGGCCAUGGACGCAGCCACACGUGAAAAGGAAUAGCGUCUUCACGCAGUUCCACAAAUCAACGGCAUCCUUGAGUUUAGGCAAGACUACCGUACAUGGCUUCAAGAACACGAUGGGGCGGCAAAUUCUCCGAAUACUUCAAAAACUGAAGCAUUGGUUCGGGGUCCUUGGCCUGCCAAGUAUAUACAGCAGCAAUUCUCACUGCAGGUACCACAACCUCCGAAAGCAAUUGAACAUAAUUCCCCGGGUCUCCACGAAGAAAAGCUUUCCAAGACGAUAUGCGUCCAAGCCAUGCAUGGGAUUCCAAAGAGGAUCCCACCCCUGAAAUAAUAGAGCCGCUAUUUGGACUCUCUAAAUUCUGAUGUAGCUGGAUAUCAUAUACAGGUGGGCUGCAAAGUGAUCAAUAAAUAUGAUACAAAUAGCAUUACAAAUUAUAAUCGCGCCCUCGGAUACUUUAUAGCAAGGUUCAAGGAGCCAGGAUGCACUUGACCAUAAUCCAAAAAUGGAAAUUUACUUGAACCAAAUGUUUAAGUCCCAAAACUUUGAAGAACAUAAUGUUAUUCAAAAGCUACUUACAAGAAGCUAAACAUCCAGAAACAAGAAGUUAAUGGCUUUCCAAACUACAAAAUAGUUGGCGGGUUACAAAGCCCCAACCGCGGGGCAGCGACUAAGCACCAAUGAAUGCCCGGCACUGGGAUUCCCAGUGCUGCUUUGCUUGCCGAACCCUCUCUACCCUCUCGGUCUGGAGUCUCUGCUCCCAGUAUUCACGGCAGCUGUUAAAACAUGAAUAAAUAAGAAUGAGAAAUUGCAUGUAUAGGAUGAUCAUUUACUCAUAAGGAUUCUUAGUGAGAAUAUGCUGAGCAAAAGCAUACUUUCGGCUAAGUAACAUGUUAAGCUCUUCUAAAUGCACCGCGCCUUCAAAAACUCUUGCCUGAAAUCAACACGAACAAUCACAAAACAGUGAGCAACAAUAAUUUUGAUUGUAGCGAUGCAGCUCAUUCUCCAGGUCCUAAAAGAUUACAGCUCUACAAAACUCCAAUUAGAAAGAAGUUAAUUACUCACCUCUCGGCAUAGAGGGCAUUUUUCUUUAGGCUCUGCAGACUUUAAUCCAUCAACAAUAGUCACUGAUGCAGCCGAGCAAGCACACAUGUAGCAGAAUAUAUGACCGCACGUAAGAGCAACUGGAUCAAAAACUGUGUCCUAUAAAGCGGAAGAUAAAAAUAAAUCACACGAAACCUCAAAUGAAGCGCAACAAUAGCAAGAUGCUUUCUUCCCAACAACUCCUACCAAUGUCUUGGUAUGCUACACUACAGCUACUGAAGGUUUAUGUUUUAGUUGAGCUAAUGAAAAUUGUUCACAUUGUUUGCAGUUUGCAGGAAAAAAUGUCAAGUGUUAUGCACUAGUCAUAUGUGCUCCUACAUCAUAAGAGGCAUGAAAUAUGCAAUUAAACUAUUGAAGAGCGAGAGUGAUAUUGUAAGAGUGCUACAACUUUCAUAUCAAUUUUCAAAACCUCUUAUUCAAGACUUGAAUUCACAGGUAGGAUAAAACGCUGUGUAGUGUUAACAUAGUAACAACACAAAUACGCAGUCAAUAACCCGUUAUAUGGAAACCUUGAUACUUACCAAGCAUAUAGAACAAGUCAAAUCAAUAUCAAGCUUAACGGAAUCAAAGAGCUCACAGGCGAGAGAUGGUUUCUCAUCAUUAAUCUUGAGGGAGCAUCCCUCAAACAAAGCCGGUGCCUUCCUCGACUUAGUCUCGGUUUCCCUUAAAUUGAUGUGAAAAGCCAUAAGCUCGAAAAGCCAUGGGCUCUGAAGGAGUCCAAUGUGCAUACUUUGAGCUUGCGACUUAAAUGCCUGUCCUUGUGUUGAGUAAUGAAUCUGUUCCCAUAACACAAACGAAAAUUAUAAACAUAUAUAUUUAACUGGAUUACCGAAACUUUCGAUAAACGCACUACCAAUUUUGAGCAGUUGGAUUCACAUACCUUAUCAUAUUUCUUUAGUAUUUUCCGAAUGGCAAUGGCGUUGAUCAGUGCAUAAGUCACGAGGUCCUUGCCUUCUUCUAUCAAGGCACCAUGGCCCCCUCGACGUUUGCCUUGGACCCAAAACAUGUACUUACGCAAGCCAGAAGCCAGAUGGAGUUCAAGCAAUGUCUGUGCACGCUUAUGAAAGAAACCCACCACAGCAGACAUCUCAUCGAGAAGGGCCGGGAAAAAGCUCCCAUCACACACUGCCAAAAUUCAAUUAAAUCAGCAUAAACUCCAUUGCCAGGCACAAAAAUCAAUAUCACUGAGGAUUCAGUAACCUUCAAAAUUAGAAGAUAAAACAGGUUCCAUGUGCUUUGAAAAUCGGCUACUUUUUCCUACAAAGACAAUAUUCUAAACUUACUCUAGUUUUCGAGAUAAAAAUUCGAACUUAGAUGAUGGGGUGGGCACGUUGUCCUAACCAAGUGACCUAAUUCACGUCUGACUGGCUAAAAUUUUUAAUUGUUGUGACUUGUAUAUACUCUCCAACAUUUGGAUUUUCAAACAAUUGAAUGAAAUGAAUGCAAGAUGUUGACUUUCCAUCUCAAAGAUUUCCAAUGAAAUUAACAAUAUAUAUACACUAUAUAUAUAUCCGACAUGAACAAUAAACUGAAUGCUAAUUGGGAUUCAAACAGCCAAAAGAACUAGCAAAUUAAGUUAAAAUUUUUAAUCAUAACAAUCAUCAGAAACAGAUUAAAAACCAAAAAUAAGAAAUAAAAAUCUGUAACUGAAAUUUAAAAUCACCUGUGCAAUGGUCAGGGCAAGUACGGACGUCAUGGAAAUCUUCUCUGCGGCAUUUCUUCAAGAUCUUCUUAAGCUUCUUGAAUCCAACCCCGGGCUGCUUCUUCUUCUGGCCUUGCAUGUACUCCUGGUAUGUCUUGCAGAACUUCAUUUUUCAUCAAUAUUUAACCCAAAUCCUUCGACUUCAAUUAAAUUCACUGGAUAUCAGAGAUGGGCUGCGAUUGAAAUACCAAAAAAAUCAAAUCUUUAACGCUAAUCACUGAUUAGAUAUAUAGUUUAAUCAUCUGCUGAUGUCUGUGUAUAAAGGGAUGUGUAACGGUUUCUCUCUCUCUCUUCUCUGUCUACCGGGUCUACGCGCUUGAAGAAGACAUAUAUAAAGGAAGAAGACAUAUAAAGGAAGAAGAGGACAACAUAUGGUAUCGGAUAAUACUGAGGUGCUGAUUUUGCAGAGAAAAAGUCAAGGAUUGUUCCGGAAAAGUUCUUCUUUUUUGUUGGAGGAUUUCUCGGGAACUUUAAAAGCGGAUUUGAAAACGUUUUCUUUUGGGGUAAAUCCAGAUUGGAAGACAUUUCCAAAUGGAGAGUGAUACUAAAUAGAAAACUUGUUUAUGUUCCAGUUGUCACUGAUGGGAGACUUCACAUUUUUCUUUGUUUUUCUUGGUUGAUUAGUGGCCGAGAAAGUGACACUAAUAUUAGGUGAGAUGUCCAAAAGAAAUCAUCUACAUCCUCCUUUUACCUUGAAGAGAGAAAUUAUUUAGCUAAUAUGUGAGUGUAAAUUCAUCCGAAAAAGUUAUCAUUCACUAAAAGUAGAAAAAUAAUAAGUGCAUAAUGAUUUAUUUGAAUUAUGCUGAUAAUUUAUAUUAUUAAGGUUGUGUUUGGUAAAUUAUCUAUUAAAAUGUGGGUCGAUAACCUAUUAUAAAGGUUUUGUCAUGUUAAAAUUGAGAUCAAAUAGGAGUCUAAAAUUGAGAUCAAAUAGGAGUCGAUUAAAGCACCACCCUUAUCUCAACUGACAUUUUGACUAUGAAUAACAUAUUAUAGAGCAUCUUUAAAGAAAGAUGUUAAAUAUGUCAACUUUGGAUUUAUAGACAUUAAGACUUUCUCCAAGGAAGAUAUCAUAGUUGACAUGAUAGCCGAGUUAUUUGGCACUUUGCUUUCUAGCAAUCUUUUUAUACAGCAAACUAAGAUAGAGUCGAUUUUGUUAUUUAAUAUGUGGGGUUUCAUAAUUCAUCAAUAUGAUAUACAAUUAACUAUUCUAAACUUUUUCUUUUUUUUUAAGUUGUAGUAGUGUGGUCCAAUAUAGAAUAAAUUAAGCCGAGUUUGGUAGCGAAGACUUGUAACUAAGUAGAGCAUUAAAGCAAUUAAUAGGUGAUUUGAGCCUUGUCAAGUGAGGCAUGGUGUUUGAAAGUUGUUCACCACUAUUGUGAAGUCACUUUAAGCACGUCCUAAGUCUCUCUAGUUAAUAGGGACACCCCACCCUCACGAGUGGGGUAGCAAAUAAACAAACACACAAUAUAUAAAUAAUAAUUUAACACAUCAUUUGGAAUAAUUUUUUUUUUUUACAUCAACAUCAAAUAGCCACAUCAUUCAUAAAAUAAAAUUUUAACAUUUAUAUUUGACAUCUUGGAACUUUCAUGUCACAUCAUGUUUACAUAGGAUCGUGUGGAUUUGAAAAACCAAGUAUCAUGUGAACUUGCCAGCUACCAAAGAAGAUAAAGGGGAAAGCAAAUUGAGUGUCUUGACAUCCAACUAUCUCCAUUAGUUUUCGUUGGCAUGCAAAUAAAUCUUAUGCAUGGUUUCAAUGUGAAAAUCUUAUCAUUAUUUGUACCAUUUUUUUAAUAAAGAUGAAACUCAUAUACGUUGGUCGACUUUAUCUCUAUUAGAGAGAUGAUACAAAUAUGUAGUAAGUGUAACAUUACUCAAUGCCUUGGGGAUGUUGUAUCUCGUAGAAACACUCAUUUAAUAAAACUUUAGCUUUAGCCCGUCAUGACCAAUAAACCACUAAUUUCACCUGGUUGAUAGAAAUGUAAAGGCUACUCAAUGCCUUGAGGAGGUUGUACCUCGUAGAAACACUCAUUUAAUGAAACUUUAGCUUUAGCUAAAAGUGUAAAUGUAAAUGCAUUACUCAAUGCCUUUAGGAAGUUGUACCUUCUAGAAACACUCAUUUAAUGAAACUACCCAACUAUUUUUUACCAUUGUGGUAAAAUGUUACUUGCGUCUUAUAACACAAGUUGAUUAGUUAAGUUACGUGAAAAAUAGCAGUAAGAGCCGACUGUUUUGUUACGUGUAAAACUGGCACGCGACACUAGUAUAUGGCCCCGGCCGGUCUUGAAGAAGAAGAAAGUGUUUUUUCCACUUCAUUGCUUAAUUUGCUUGCUUGUGAUCUACGAAAGUUGAGUCCUCCAACUCCACGUCUUUCUCUCAAACCAUUCUAUAUGUAUCCAUAUGAUUUAUAAAUCACAUGCGUUGUGGAGAAUACCAUGAAUAAGAACUUUAAGAUAUAUGUAGAAAAAAUGUGUGAAAACGUAUGAAGCCUAUUGGAAGUGAAGUUUAUAACGUAUGUGCUGUUCGCGUUACCUUUAGACUGGCUCUGAUUUAGUCCAACCCUAGAAACCCACUUGAGUUAAUAUAUAGCAGUGCGAUGCAUGCGCCCUUUGAUUUUAGGAUGAAAAAAUAUAUUUUGCCACCAAGUUGUUUCCCAUCUGUAUGGUACAUGCGCAUAUGCAAGUCAUGCCGGCCUCUAGGUCUAGUAAACGAUAAGGUUCUUAACCGGUGAUUCAACAAUGAUCAGAUUCGCUAAUGAACUCUAAUGGGUGAUCCAAUGAUGAUCCGACUCGUUAAAAGUGUGACCCAAAACCUAUUAUUUUCGUGUUAGCUUAACAGAUCAUGCAAAAAGUUGUCAGACCUACAUAUGAUGGCAUGUUGAAUGAAGAUGGUGAUUAUCUCCGUAUGUGGUACCUUUUCUACUGCUGGAACCCGAAAGCUAACUUUCUUCGUCUAAAAUCUAUGCAAACUCUUACUAUGGUUGCUAUAUAUAUAUAUAUUCUUGAAGGGGGAGAAAAGACUGCGUAGAACUCCUGGUGAAAACAUUAAUCUUCCACUUGAGCAUUUGUUAUUCGGUAAAUUUUGCAGCACUUUUACAUUGGAAGGCUCAGCAGUAAUGAUUUCAGGAUAUUAUCUUUUUGUUUUAGUCUUUCUAUUGAUCACUUCUAUAUACAAACGAAUAUAAGUUCUCUGUAUAGAACUUCCAAUUUGUAAAACUACUAAAUCCUUGUUUUCAAGUCAGCUGAUUGUGGGACUUUCUGAUUAAGAUGAUUUUCUUUUAUUAAUUUUCUUUCAGGGCAUAUAUUUCUGCGGUGAGAAGAUUGUCUCCUUCAGUCUCACAGGAACUUGAGGACUGGUUAAAAUAUGAUACAUGUUCAAUAAUGAUUUAUCUCAAAUUAUUACUUUAGUCUAAAGAAGACUCUUCAAUUGCACCGUACAAAUAAAUAGUCUUUUGAACCGAAUUUCACUUUAUUUAUGAGGCUCUGCCCUUGAUCUUCAUGCUGCUUGUCUAUUCUAAAGUAGAAGAGGGGAGACAUUGUUCAAAAUUUUUUUAUUUUGCUUUGUUUACAACAAAGCCAUGGGAUUUGGGGCUGGGUUGGAAGGUAGUUAUUAAAAUUUAGGAAGGUAAUUUUGUCUCUUGAGGUCAAUUCCUCCCCCCUCGAUUUUGCUUUAUUUACAACAAAACCAUGGGAUUCCGGGGUGGGUUGGAACGUAGUUAUUCAAAGUUAGGGGGGUAAUUUUGUCUCUAAACAUAUUUUGCAUUAUUUAUAUUUAUGCCACCUCAAACCAAGGGAUGUGAGAGAGAGACACAAACACACCCAUUUGGCUUCGGUUCCCCUUUCUCAAACCCUAGCAGAGCCGCAACACCAUCUAUGGGAUGUGAGAGAGACAAAAACACACCCAUUUGGCUUCGGUUCCCCUUUCUCAAACCCUAGCAGAGCCACAACACCAUCUCUGGGAUGUGAGAGAGAGACACAAACACACCCAUUUGGCUUCGGUUCCCCUUUCUCAAACCCUAGCAUAGCCACAACACCAUCUCUGGAAUAGCAUCGGCUUCCUGCUUCCUAAAACCAAAACCACUCAAACUGGCCUUCAUUUUUCUGUAACUCGAGCGCUUCGGUGAAAUGGAGGAGAGGAGCAGGGAGAUUGGCUCGAGUCGGCGAACGGCGGAAGAGAUCUUCAGGGAUUACAGUGGUCGGAGAACCGACGCCGUCCACGCUUUAACUAACGGUACUCCGAUCUCUCUUUGUUCUCCGUUUCUCUCUCUUAAUUUCCUUUUGGUUUUGGAAAUUUCUGACCUUUUGGGUGAUGUUGUUUUCUCAUUUGAACAGAGAGAGAGAGGUCGAUGUCGUCAGAGGCAUGGUUCACAGAGGGGUUGAUGGGUUGCAGGUAGAGAGGGGGUUGACGGGAGGGGUUCUAGGUGGACACAGAGAGAGAGAUAGAUCGUCCAAAUUUUCUCUACUUGGAUGAUUGCGGAAGAUCAGGUUUGAUAAUUUUCGCACUUUCUUGAAUCGAUUCAGUGAGUUUUUUUUAUAAAUUACUUAGUUUUGGGUUUGAAUCUUUAUCUAGAAAUCCAAAACGAAAAAACUAUGCUCUGCAACACGAUUGACGAUUUUGAUGUCGGCUUCGUGAGAUCUCUUCGAUCUUUGCUUCCCCAUCUGUUUGAUCUCCUCGACGCCCCAUCGUGCUCCCAAUUUCUGUAAAUUUGGGGUUUCUUCGGGCAUAAUGUUAUCAAACUCUGUUACUUAUUGGAUGUGAAGAUCUAAUUCAAUUUGGUGAUUAAUAUAAUUAGAUUGUAUUAAAAUUUUCAUGAUUUUGUAGAAUUUUACGUUUAAAUUUGUGGGUUUUGGAGAAUUCUUCAUUAAAUUUCUGGGUUCUUUUGAUGUGAGAUUUAGUUAAUUUUUGUAGCUUUUGUAAAAUCCUUCGAUUAUUUUUUUUUGUUUUGUUCUCUUUUCGUAUUAGCAAGUUAUGGAACCAACUAAGAUCAAUUAACUUAUAACUGAUUCUUCUCUCUUCAGGUUCAUGGAUUGUCAAGCAGAGUGGGAAAGAAAGGGUGCCUCACUGGUUAGGCACUUGAAAUCAAUUAUUUCCAUGGGAAGAACUACUUGGAGGUAAAGUUGAAGAAAUAAUUAUUAAAGUACAUUAAAAAUUGUAACUUGCGUUUUGAUAUUCUAUUACUCCACAUGCACUUGAAAUCAAUUAUUUCCAUUGGAAGAACUACUUGGAGGUAAAGUUGAAGAAAUAAUUAUUAAAGUACAUUAAAAAUUGUAACUUGCGUUUUGAUAUUCUAUUACUCCACGUGCUAUUCCGCUUGGACAUUGAAUGAUGGAGGAACUGGUUUCUUUUUUACUUGGGGCGUGUGCAGGGGAUGAGAUUUAAAUGUGUGCCUCUCAUGAAUUGCAUUAACAUAACUUGGAUAUGAAAGUAUAAGACAGCAUGAAUCAUAUGUUAUUUUCUUAUUUGGAUACAUUAUGUGAAUUAUUGCUUCUUUAGAAAAGAUUAAGGAAGGUGAGUUCAUCAUGGGAUUUAAGUUUUAACAAUACAACUUCUUAAAAUUGAGUAAAUGCUCGCAUUUGAUAGAACUUUGAAGAUGGAUUUUCAGGUUCAAAUUUUGGUUGUGUAUUGGUACUGUGGAGUUUUUUACUUUUAUUUUAUUUGGAUGUAUGGUUGGGAAUGAGAUAUCUGAAAAUUUUGGAGAAAAAUUAGUGGCUAUUGUUUACUUGCAAAGUCCGUAACUUUCUUUUAGCUUUUGCAGUACGUUUGGGAGCAAGCUAAAAAUGAUAUCAUUGAGCACAAGACAAGAAUAAGCCUCCAUUUCCAUCUCAUAAAAGCAGCAGAAGAAAAUUAAACAAGUAUUUUCAUACAGCUGGAGGCUGUAAGUUGUUUAUGUUUUUCCAGUUAAAACUUAUUUGAUAAUAUUUUGUUUUUCUGGUGAAUUCUGAAUUACUGAGAGACAAUUACUCAUGUGUUACAGGUGGUCACUGCCUGACAUCAAAGACUACUUAGAAGAGGCAGCCUUUAAGUCCGUUCAUUUUUUAAUGCGCAAGAUGCAAGACAACAGAAAAAUCCGAAGAACAGAGGAGUUUACUAUCGGCCGGGACAUAAAAUAUAAAGAGAUGAAACGUUUUCAUCAACAUGAUUCUUGGAAAUAAAAAGUGUGCUUAUGUUUUUGUCACAGAUCCUGAAGAAAACUAUAAAUCUGCAUGCAUCUGCAUCUUCAGAGAAUUCUAACUGUUGUUCUGGUGAGAAAAUAAUCUCAAAACAUAUGAUGUGAAGUGGACUUGGCUGAUAAUUCAUUUUGAUUAUGUAUAUGCAGAAUUAGUAGCUGAGAAAAUAGAAUGGGUAGUAUACAAAUGGAUUUGAUUUGAUUCUUGGAGCUGACAUAUAUAUCCACAAUUGUUAAUUUUUACCAUGGUUAGGCAGCAUGACUAUAUUAUUUGCUACUAACUGAGAGAGUGCACCUGCAAUUCAAGUCCUUAACGUGUUCUUUAUUUUUUAUAUUUUAUUGAAAAUCAUUACACAGCAUUGGUGGGCGAUGGUGGUGGGUACCUGAUAUGGUACCUCUGGCUCUCUUCUUCACUGCAACAAUUUGCCAGAAAGGUAAGUCGAAAUUGUGAUGCAUAAUUUUCCUUUCAUUUUUUAAUUAAUUUAUGAAUAUACUUUCAUCAUAAUGUAUUUACUUCUUGGGCAGUGCAGCCUUUACAGGAUGGGAUACAUCCAUUCUUUUCCCUGGUACAGGUAUGGACCUCUGUUAAAUUUGAUUUUCCUAAGCAUUUUCUUUUAUUUGUGAUGCAUAAUUUUCCUUUCAUUUUUUAAUUAAUUUAUGAAUAUACUUUCAUCAUAAUGUAUUUGCUUCUUGGGCAGUGCAGCCUUUACAGGAUGGGAUACAUCCAUUCUUUUCCCUGGUACAGGUAUGGACCUCUGUUAAAUUUGAUUUUCCUAAGCAUUUUCUUUUAUUUAAGGUCAAAAUUAUUUAUGAGUCAUAUUUAUCGUUGUCAUGCAUAGAAAAAUGUUGUAAUUAUUUCUCUCUCUCUCUCUCUCUCUCACAAAAUUAGUAUAUUUGAAGUCAGUAAUUGACUAAAUCAUUUUUAUUUUGUUUGAAUGCAAAUGUCUACUUGUUAGUUCAUUUAUGAUAUUUAUUGUGAGUGUUAAACUAUUAUUCUCAUAAUUAUUUGAAUUAUGUUUCUUACCAUAGUAACUAAAUAAUUUAAAAAAUCUAAACAGGAAUUAGUAUGCAGUUUGUUGAAUCCGAGUGAUAUUUAUAUAUGCCCUCAUUUCAUCUGAAAAACGGCUUUUAUGCUUGGUGACAAUGUGUUUUUCAGUUUGCUGCAGCCAACGUCAAAUUCUAUCUAAUUGGGGAAAAGGUCCAACAGAUUUCCACUUGAUCCAUCAAGCACAUGAUAAAGCUUUCAAAAUUUCUGUAAGUAAUUCUUUUGUUCAUUUGAUUUUCUUUGAUGGGACAUUGAAUUUAUUGCGUGGAAAUUGGGUUUCAUCUGAAUCUGAAAAAUCUGAAUGUUUAGGGUUUUUGUUUGCUGAUUAUUGUUUGUUUUAUCUGUAUUUUUUUAGUUAUAUUUAAUUUAUGUUUAUAUGGCAAGUGCCUUCGCCCAUGAGCGGUAGGUCUCGGGUUCGAGACUUGGGAGCAGCCUCUCCAUAAAUCGGGGUAAGGCUAGCCGACAUUCACCUCUCCCAGACCCUGCGUAAAGCGGGAGCCUGUGCACUGGGUACGACCUUUUUUUUUUUUUUUUUUUUUUUUGAGAAGAAACAAAACAUUUUAUAGAAGAAAAGAGAAAUACACUGGAGUGGAUAAGAAAUCCACCAUUAACAAGAAACAAGAAAAAACUCUCACUAGGAUUUGGCUACAGCAUCAUUAGCUAGACCUAACUCACUUUACUGCUGCUAACAAAUCCCACAGUAAUUGAGAAAUAGAGUAGUUAUUAAAAACAUUUGAGACUGAAGCCCAAAGAGCUGCCCAAUAUUUUACUCUUCCCCAAAGUACUUCUACCCCCACACCUGUAUAAUCCUCAAAAAUUCUUUUGUUACGCUCCAGCCAAAUGUUCCAAAAAACUGCCGAGACCAGACAACCCCACAAAGCUUUAGCUUUCCUCCCACUUCCUAGGGCCUGAAACUUGGUGCUUAGAAGCUCGAAACAACCCUUUGGAAUGACCCAACUAGCUCUAACCUCCUGAAACAGUUUCCACCACACAGCUGAAUCGUGUAAGAGCAAUGGAGAAAAAUGUGGUUUACACUCUCCUCCUUUGCUUUGCACAAACUGCACCAUUGUGGGGAUAAGCAAAUAAAAGGGCUUCUCCUUUGAAUUUGGUCACAAGUGUUGAGCUUCCCUUUGGCCGCCAGCCAUACAAGAAUCUUAACCUUCGGAGGAACUUUGGACUUCCAAAUCUGUGAAUGGGGUUGGAAGUAUUGCAUCAUCCCAUUGUUACUCAAGAAGGAACAAUAGGAUUUGCAUGUGAACAAUCCUGAUGCUUCCAUUUUCCACCUUCUGUUAUCCAUUCUUGAUUGAGACAAUCGGACCUCUUCCACUUUCUGUAAUAAUCUAGCCGCCUCUUCUAUCUCCGCCUCAUUCAAAUUUCUCCUGAAAUCAAAAUUCCAACUUAAAGAAUUGGUAGAAAGAUCUACAAAGCUUGAAAUGUUCUGAUUGUGCUUCCUCGAUAGCAAGAAUAAUCUAGGAAAUUGCUCUUUCAAUGGUCCUCCAUCUAACCACCCAUCCUCCCAAAACCUCACCCUCUCCCCGUUGCCCACCUCGAACUUACAGCAGUGAAGAAACAAUUGGGAACCAAUCGAUAUAUCUUUCCAUGGGCUACGGCUUGAACCCCUUAUCGAAGGAAAUGCGUUCCAUCCGUUAUCCUGUAGCCCAUAUUUGCUUCUUAUCACUUUGUGCCAGAGAGAAUGAGGUUCCUUUGGGAAUCUCCACAACCACUUAGCAAGUAAUGCUUCAUUUCCGAUUCCUCAAAUUCCCCACCCCUAAACCUCCUUCCUCUUUACUUUUAAUAACUAUCUCCCAUUUUACCAGGUUGUUUUUUCUUUCCUUCCUCCACACCUUCCCACAAAAAUCCUUUCAUUAGUUUUUCUAGGCGUCCAAUCACCCCGCAAGGCAUUUUGAACAGAGACAUGUAGUAGGUCGGCAAGCUUCCCAAAACAGAUUGAAUCAGAGUUAAUCUACCUCCUCUGGAUAAGAAGGCCUUCUUCCAACUUUGAAGUCUUUUUUCCAUCUUAUCUACCACUGGAUCCCAAAACUUGAGUGCUCUUGGCCUACCCCAGAGGGAGUCCAAAUACUUUAUAGGCCAGCUACCUACCUCACAACCCCAAGAAUCCGCCAACCUAUUUAAUUUCUCACAAUCUGAAUUUAUUCCAGCCAAAUAACACUUAGCUUUGUUGAUUUUCAACCCUGAAACAGAACAGAAUAAUUUGAGCAGCUCUAAUAGAUUGUUCCAACCUCCCUCAUCUUCCGCCAAGAAAAAAAUGGUAUCAUCUGCAAAUUGAAGAUGAGAAAUCUCCACCUUUUCUUGCCCAAUACAUAACCCUUUGAUGAGAUGAUUUUCUUGAGCCUUCUCCAUUAACCUACUCAAAACAUCGACUACUAAGGUAAAAAGAAAAGGUGACAGUGGAUCACCUUGUCUCAAACCUCUUGAAGCUUGAAAUUUUCCCCUAGGCCUCCCGUUAAUCAAAACAGAAAAAUUUGCGGAACUUAAGCAUCCCUGCAUCCAUUUCCUCCAUCUGUUGCCAAAGCUUUUUCUUUGUAAGACUUCGUCCAAAAGGUAUCUUUAAGGUUUAAUACAAUAGAUGAGUGGGUAAGGUUUCUCAACUUCUAAAUUGUUUUGUUAUCAAUGUGCAGCACCAAUGCUCACAAAGUCCUAAACUAAUCUUAUUAAUUUAAGGAGUUGGCAUACCACUUACAAAAUGAUGGACUCCUAACCCGUCUCCCCCUACCAUUUUCUGCCGUCCAUUAGGUCCUGUAGCAGAAUUAAAUUUUUGUUUUGAAGUGUAUGCCAUUUUGGAUAAUUUGGGAUUGAUUUUGAGCACGUUGUUAAGAUUAUUAAUUACACUUUUUCAUGAUAAUUUAGAUGAAAAAAAAAUGCUGAAUUUGGGGGCAUGGGGGAGUGGGAAUGCAGAUAUAGAAUUAUGGGUUGAGUAUGCUGAAUACGGGGGUAUGGGAGAGUGGGAAUUGCAGAGAUAGAGUGAGGGAGGGAUGGGGUUGGUUGGGAAUUGCAGAGAGAGUGAGGGAGGGAUGAGGUUGGUUUUGAAAGAUUUACUCCACCUAGGAUUGUUCCUGUAAGAUUUCGACAGCGUUGUCUCUCUAAAAUUUGUACCCUUUUCUGGCGUUUGUAGGGUUUAGGUUUCAUCAGAUGGUGUUUGUAAUGUUUAUACUGAACUAUCGACUCUUUUAUUCUUUGUAGGUGAAAUUGAAGGUCAGUAGAUCUCUUAAAUUGAUGAGGGGGCUACAAUUCGUACAAGGAAACUAGCCAGAGAUAUGCUAUUUUGGAAGAGAAUAGAUAAAGAGAUGGUAUCCUUCUCUUCUCCUCUGGAAAUGCAUUGAGUACAAGAAGUAUAUGCAUGAAAAUAUCAAAAUGCAUGUCUUUUUAUCCUAUUGAUCUUAAAUUUAGUCCUCUCAUGAUGUGUAGUAGACCUCAAAUACAUAUUUUGAAAUAUUCAUGUCUAAAGUUCUGUUCAUCUUCUGUUUUGGGUUUUUUCCUAUUUUAGGCCAAAUAAAAAAAUUAUUAUGAAGUGUGGAUGGUCAUUUAGAAUUUUGGUGAUAUUGAGAGUUGAUGAAGUAGGUGAUGAAGGAGGAGGGGACGGAGAAGGUGAAGGUAUUGAUGGAGAAGGUUAUGAAAUUGGUGAAUUUAAGUCUGAAGGCACUAUUGAAUGUUUUCAAAAAGUCUGAAGGCACUAUUAUUUUUCUAUUGGACUAGUCUUUUGGGUUGGGCUCUUCCCUUGGGCUUGAGUACCUAACAUUGGUAUCAGAGCCUAGGUGCCCGACGCUGCGGGUCUUGGUUACGUGACGUGCCGCCUCGUGAUUACCGCCUUGGGAGUAUGGGCUCCAAGGGACUUGGAGACGAGGGAUUGGGCGACGUGAUUACCACUGUGGGCGUCGGGUCUUCCAAAGGGUGGUGUAAUGUUAUGAUCCCACAUUGACUACACUUAUGGGAGUGUAGGGGUUCUUAAAUCCUUGGGGUCCUCCCACCUAUUGGACUAGUCUUUGGGGUCCUCAAUUUCAGCCAUCAGAUCAAAUGACUUGAAGAAGAUCUAAGGACAGAAAUUAACAAUGAGUGUUAACAAUGAGUGUGUGGACAGCACCACCCCGACUCUUAACAUAUCUUUUUUAGUUUUCAAACACCUCAAUUUUAGCCGUCAAAUUAAAUGACUUGAAAAUUAACAAUGAGUGUGAAUAGCACCACUCUACUCUAAAAUAUCUAUUUUUAGUUUUCACACACCUCCUCAAUGAGUGUGGAUAGUACCACCCUACUCUAAAAUAUAUUUUUAGUUUUCACUCCUCUUCAAUCAGUUGGAUCAAAUGACUGAAAAAAGAUCUAAGGACAGAAAUUAACAAUAAGUGUGUGGAUAGCACCACCCUACUCUAACAUAUCUUUUUUAGUUUUCACACCUCCUCAAUUUUAGUCGUCGGAUCAAAUGAUUUCAAGAAGAUCUAAGGACAGAAAUUAACAAUGAGUGUGGAUAGCAACACCCUACUCUAAAAUAUCUUUUUUUAAUUUUCACACACCUCAAUGAGUGUGAGUAACACCACCGUACUCUAAAAUAUCUUUUUUAGUUUUCACACCUCUUCAAUUUCAGUAGUCGGAUCAAAUUACUUAAAGAAGAUCUAAGGACAGAAAUUAACAAUGAGUGUGGAUAUUACCACCCUACUCUUAAAUAUAUUUUUUGGUUUUCACACACCUCUUCAAUUUCAACUGUCAGAUCAAACGACUUGAAGAAAAUCUAAGGGUAAAAAUUAACAAUAAGUUUGUGGAUAACACCACUCUACUUUAAAAUAUAUUUUUCAGUCCAUUCCAAACGUCACAUCACUCCCUCCUCUCCCAGCUACCCUAUGCAGAAAUAAAAAAUGAGGGAGUAGAAUUCUCUCCCCUCUUUUUUUUCCCUCCCCUCAUAUUUGAACGGUCACAGUUAAGUCAUGUCAACAUCUUAUAUUAAUGUUUUUAAAAAGUGAAAGACAAAAUAGAGAAUAUGAGAGGAGGGGAGAGAAUCUUAAUCCAAAAAUGAGGGCAUUUCGGUUCGCGGGCAGCAUUAGACAACUUUUCAAGAAGUUGACGGGAGCCAGAGCAGGCGAUGCCUCAGCUGUGGUCGAAGAACCAAAUGUCAAGGUGGAGUACGAUAUUUCCUCGUCCCACCCCAAACACAUCAUCUGAUUUUGCGUCCACCCAGAGAACUAACAGAGAGCUAGGAAAAUAAUGGCUGCUAACCCCCCAGGAUUGUGGAUUGGCUUUCCCAUGUCAACAUCAUCGCCGCCAAUGCAGAUCUCGUCUGGAAAUUCGGUCGAGCACUAUUUGAGGCUAAGGAGAGUGGUUUGAAAGAAGUUUUAAGGGUGAAACCUGUUGCUUCAGCCUGCAGACUCAGAAGCACCUUGCUUCCUUGGUUCCCCAAUCCGGUGAGAACACAACUCGUAUUAAGUACUUGGAAUUGGUCGCAAACCAUUUCGCGAAACAUGGACUCAUAAAGGGGUCUCCUCCUCUCCGUUCUCUAGUACCAUCGAAGGAGGAGGCAAACGGCGGAGGCAAAAGGAACGGGAAAGGGAACGGAAAUGACAACGGGAAAGGGAACAGGAACGGGAACGACAACGAGAAAGGGAACAGGAAAGGGAAAGGCAACGGCAACGGGAACGGCAACGAGAAAGGGAACGGGAAAGGAGGACUUUUUUUUGCUCAUGCAAUUCACAUUUGAGAGUCCUUCAAUUUUCCCUUUUAAAAUGGGUACUCAAACGGUUCCGGCAGGGUACCAUUCUCAAAGAGUGCGGGUGGUCCUCCGUUCCCGUUGCCAUUGUCGUUGCCCUCCUUUCCCGUUCCCUUUCUCGUUGCCGUUGCCUUUACCUUUCCUGUUCCCUUUCCCUUUCCCGUUCCCGUUCCCGUUCCCUUUCCCGUUGCCGUUUCCGUUCCCUUUCCCGUUCCUUUUGCCUCCGCCGUUUGCCUCCUCCUUCGAUGGUACUAGAGGACGGAGAGGAGGAGACCCCUUUAGGAGUCCAUGUUUCGCGAAAUGGUUUGCGACCAAUUCUAGGUACUUAAUACGAGUUGUGUUCUCACCGGAUUGGGGAAGCAAGGUGCUUCUGAGUCUGCGGGCUGAAGCAACAGGUUUCACCCUUAAAACUUCUUUCAGACCACUCUCCUUAGCCUUAAAUAGUGCUCGACCGAAUUUCCAGACGAGAUCUGCACUGGCGGCGAUGAUGUUGACAUGGGAAAGCCAAUCCACAAUCCUGGGGGGUUAGCAGCCAUUAUUUUCCUAGCUCUCUGUUCGUUCUCUGGGUGGACGCAAAAUUAGAUGAUGUGUUUGGGGUGGGACGAGGAAAUGUCGUACUCCACAUUGACAUUUGGUUCUUUGGCGACAUCUGAGGCAUUGUCUUCUCCUAUUGCUCAUUGUUUCAUAAAAAUAUGAUUUUACGCAGCUUGUACAGCCAUACGUGAAGUUAUGGAGCAGCAGACUGUCAGCAUUGCCAAUGCUGGGAUCACUACGUCUUUGAAUGCACGAACUCCUGUUCUUGCUGCAGCUAAUCCAGCAUGGUACAUAUUUUCUAGUUCUUUUUAAUCUGGUUCAUUUGGGCAUUACUCUUUGUUGCUUCUCUUCUAAAUCAUAUUGCUCUAGUUAUGUGGUACCUUUUCUACUGGUGGAAGCUAACUUUCUUCGUGUAAAAUCUAUGCAAACUCUUACUAUGGUUGCUAUAUAUAUAUAAUUUUUUUUUUCUUGAAGGGGGAGAAAUGACCUGCGUAGAACUCCUGCUGAAAACAUUAAUCUUCAACUGGCCUUUUUGUCGAGAUUUGAUCUUUUAUGGUUAAUCCUGGACCAAGCUUUCUGGGAGUCAGAGUUUAGCUGGCUGACCAAGUUCUUUUACUCAGUCUCUGCCAAUAUCGUGAUUAUGUGGUGCACCCCAGUACUUAUAUCAACUCUCACGUUCGGGACUGCACUUUUGUUGGUUGUACGACUUGAUGCUGGGACAGUGUUCACAACCACAUCCAUCUUCAAAAUUCUUCAGGAGCCAAUCAGGACAUUCCCGCAAUCUAUGAUAUCAAUUUCUCAAGCUAUGAUAUCACUUGGGAGGCUGGAUCGUUUUAUGAAGAGUAGGGAAUUGUUGGAGGAUUCGGUGGAGAGGGUAGAAGGCGGUGAUAGUGGGAUUGCUGUUGAAGUUAAAGAUGGCGCGUUCAGCUGGGACUAUGAAAGCAAUGAAGAGGAUUUGAAAAAUAUAAAUAUAAAUUUAAUAAAGGUGAGCUAACGGCGAUUGUAGGGACAGUGGGAUCCGGAAAGUCUUCCCUUCUAGCUUCAAUUCUUGGUGAGAUGCACAAGUUAUCCGGAAAGGUAUAAUCUGAUACCAUUAAACCAUUUUCUAGAUGUCUCUUAUGAUGUAAAAUCGCUCCAUUGAAGCUUCAAUUCAAUCACUUUGUUAAAUUAACAAAAUCUUUGAAAACAGGUACGAGUUUGCGGGACAACUGCUUAUGUGGCUCAAACGUCAUGGAUUCAAAACGGAACCAUUGAAGAAAACAUCCUAUUUGGUUUGCCAAUGGACAGAGAGAGAUACCGGGAAGUAAUCAGGGUUUGUUUCUUGGAAAAGGACAUGGAAAUGAUGGAGUUCGGAGAUCAAACUGAGAUAGGAGAGCAUGGCAUCAACCUAAGUUGUGGCCAGAAACAGAGGAUUCAACUUGCUCGUGCUGUGUAUCAAAAUUGUGACAUAUAUCUCCUCGAUAACGUCUUCAGUGCUGUUGAUGCUCAUACUGGGUCAGAAAUAUUUAAGGUGACAUUACUUUAUAUUUUGUUCUACAUUUGGUAGUAAAGAAUGAUUUACUUUUGAUUUCACAGUGAUUGAAUAGUCUAGCUCACACUUAAAUUAGUGCUUAGAUGGCGGAUUUGAUCUUUGUAAUCUAAAGGUGUUGAAAGAAAAAUGGAAAAACAACGUUCUUGUUUAGAUCUUCGUAAUCUAAAAUGUCGCUCAUGCUUGUAAUGUCUAUGGCCUUCUGCAGGAAUGUGUGAGGGGAGCGCUUAAAAACAAGACAGUUUUACUUGUAACUCAUCAAGUUGACUUCUUGCAUAAUGUUGAUCUUAUUUUGGUAAGUAUUUAGAAUUGUUCAUGUAUUCUCGAAGAAAUUAUAAAUUCAAUUUGCUCAUGUAUCCCUCCCUACUUAUAUUUAUCAGGUAAUGAGAGGUGGGAUGAUAGUACAGGCAGGAAAGUAUAACGAUUUGCUAAAUUCUGGCCUGGAUUUCAAAGAGUUUGUUGCUGCCCACGAUACCUCCAUGGAACUUGUAGAAAUGAGCACCGCUGAUCCCAGCAAAAGUUCCCCUGGACCUCAAAUAUCUCGGCAACUCUCCUCAAAAUGCGGGGAAGGAAAUGGUGAAAACAACUCUUUGGACCAGCUGAAGUCUGAUAAAGCGACUUCUAAGCUCAUCAAAGAAGAGGAGAAAGAAACCGGCAAAGUCAGCCUUCACAUUUACAAAGUUUAUUGCACAGAGGCUUACGGAUGGUGGGGUGUGGUGUUAGUAUUGUCAUUGACUCUGAUGUGGCAAUCGUCUCAAAUGGCGGCUGAUUACUGGCUGUCUUAUGAAACUGCAGCAAAGCGUGCGGCAUCAUUCAAACCAUCUGUGUUUAUUAUCGUCUAUGCACUCAUUGCAUGUGUCGCAUUCGUUGCGGUAUUGAUAAGAGCACUUGCUGUGAUGUUUGUGGGGCUUAAAACAGCUCAAACAUUUUUCAAGCAAAUUCUUCACAGCAUCCUGCAUGCUCCUAUGUCGUUUUUCGAUACUACACCUUCCGGAAGAAUUCUGAGUAGGGUACGUUUUUGUCAUACUUGAUGAGAUAUCUGUUAAGACUGUUAUCUGUUUACUCUAAUUUCAUGUAUAUAUAGUCCUAUUUAUUAACUGCUGAGAAUUUUUCUGUCCACCAGGCAUCAACUGAUCAGACGAAUAUCGAUCUACUUCUUCCCUUCAUGUUGGGUAUUACCAUUGUCAUGUUCUUUACUGUGCUCGGCAUCUUUAUCAUCGUUUGCCAAUAUUCGUGGCCCACUGUGUUCUUGCUGAUUCCGCUUGCUUGGCUUAAUGUCUGGUACCGGGUAUGUUCGUUCAUUUUGUCACGGUGUUAAUAUUUAUCAGUAACCUGUAACUAUAAUGUUGCACUCAAUGCUGAAGAUUUUUGUACUUAUUUUUUUUUUAGGGUUACUAUCUUGCAUCAUCUCGAGAGUUAACUCGACUCGAUUCAAUCACGAAAGCUCCUGUAAUCCAUCAUUUCUCAGAGAGCAUAUCUGGGGUCAUGAUGAUUCGCUCUUUCAGAAUGCAAAACAUGUUCUCCAAGGAAAAUGUUAAACGAGUUAAUGCCAACUUGCGUAUGGAUUUCCACAACAAUGGUUCCAAUGAGUGGUUGGGUUUCCGAUUGGAGUUACUUGGGAGUUUACUUCUCUGCAUUUCCACUAUAUUCAUGAUCUUGUUGCCAAGCAGUAUUAUAAAGCCAGGUAUUUAAACCCUCCCGAUCCUUCUUGUUUUAGUGCAUUAUUAUUACAACGUCUGAUUGAGUCUCGGUUAUAAGCAAGAUUUGAGGUGCAUGUUAGCACCGUGUUUUGAUAUAUCUAACAUAACGAGCGACAGUAGACGAGUAUCUAUUGCAGAGAUUUCACUAAACUGGUUUUCCUUUAUGGUGCAGAGAAUGUUGGUUUAACUCUCUCCUACGGAUUGUCCCUUAAUAGUGUGCUGUCCUGGGCUAUAUAUUUUAGCUGCUUCGUUGAAAAUAGGAUGGUGUCGGUUGAGAGGAUAAAACAGUUUACAAACAUUCCAUCAGAAGCAGCGUGGAAGAUUGUAGACCGUGUUCCUCCUCCAAAUUGGCCUUCCCGAGGCAACGUUGAGCUCAAAGACUUGCAGGUCAGUUUGUCUUCAGUUCUGUUUAUAACUUAGUUGGUCAUCACCAUUGCUUUGUCUCAAGCUGAAAGGGCUCGGUUCCUUUUGAUGAUAUUUUAAACUUUGUGGUGAGCAGGUCAGAUAUCGCCCAAAGACACCUUUGGUUCUCAAAGGCAUUAGUCUAAACAUUUUCGGGGGUGAGAAGAUUGGCGUUGUUGGUCGAACAGGAAGUGGGAAAUCCACUUUAAUCCAAGUGUUCUUUAGGCUGGUAGAACCUUCAGGAGGCAGAAUUAUUCUCCACAGUGCAGGUGGUUUUGUUGUUUAGCAUAAGUUUUCAAUAAGUUCUUGUAACCGAGUUGCUAUUCUCCACAGUGCAGGUGAUUUCUCAAAAAAAAUCACAUGAGAAGUAGCCAAAGUUCGCCGAACCUGGCUAAAUUCUUUGUGUUUGUGUGUGGCUUGUGUACUUUAUUGUUCUUAUAUCCGCAUAAAAUCAUCUUCUAAGUUUGCAUAUAUCAAUAAACAAGAUUGAUUAAGGGAGAUUAAA
rnacentral:lncRNA from 1 species